AGAGUUUGAUCCUGGCUCAGAACGAACGCUGGCGGCAGGCCUAACACAUGCAAGUCGAACGAACCCCUCGGGGUGAGUGGCGCACGGGUGCGUAACACGUGGGAAUAUACCCUUCAGUACGGAACAACACAGAGAAAUUUGUGCUAAUACCGUAUAAUAACUCCGGUUCAAAGAUUUAUCGCUGAAGGAUUAGCCCGCGUUUGAUUAGAUAGUUGGUGAGGUAAGAGCUCACCAAGUCGACGAUCAAUAGCUGGUUUGAGAGGAUGAUCAGCCACACUGGAACUGAGACACGGUCCAGACUCCUACGGGAGGCAGCAGUGAGGAAUAUUGGACAAUGGGCGAAAGCCUGAUCCAGCCAUGCCGCGUGAGUGACGACGGCCUUAGGGUUGUAAAGCUCUUUCAGAUGCGAAGAUAAUGACGGUAACAUCAGAAGAAGCUCCGGCUAAAUUCGUGCCAGCAGCCGCGGUAAUA
rnacentral:rRNA from 1 species